rnacentral:tRNA from 1 species
UCCCUGGUGGCUCAGUGGUAAAGAGUCUGCCUGCCAAUGCAGGAGAUGUGGGUUUGAUCCCUGAGCCAGGAAG